rnacentral:lncRNA from 1 species
UCUCCUGGCAGUCACCUGCUUGCUUAAACUCUUGACGGCUUCCCUCAGCAAUUAAAACAGCAUCCACCCCUGCCUUUUUAGGGCCCAGGAGGUCCUACUUGAUCUGGCUCUCACCUGUCUUUCCAAUCUCCCUUCAUUCUUCUCCAGUACGCUCCGGCUGCUGCACUGGCCUUAUCCUGUGCCUUGGACAUACUCAAGUUUAUCUUCACCUUAGAGCCCUUGAACUUGCUGCUCCUGCCCAUGACCAGCUUCUCAUUUUGGACACAGCUCCAGGGUCACCUCCUCAGAACGGCUUUUCCUCCCCAACUCCAGUUCUCUCUGUCACAUCACCAUUGAAUUGCCCUUAUGCUCCCUUUCAUGACUUUCCGCUCACUUCUCAACCCCUGCCUGUCUUCCCUUGCAAGAAGAAGAUCCCUCUGCAUAAUAUGGAAGAUGAACUGAAGGUGAACCAUGAUGGCAGCAGUAAAGAGGUGCAGAUCCCAGGAUCACAGCCGAUUCUGACCGGGGAUGCCUGGAGUAGCUCGGACUCCCUCAGGCCGCCAGGGCCACACCCACAGACUGGAUUUUGACAAAAGUGAAAAUGGCGGAGCCUGGAUCUUUCUACUAAGUGAAAGAAAGCUGCCUACUGAUCAAGUAAACCUGCUCAGAACUGUUACAUGAACAAAAUAUAAAUUUCUGUAAGUUGAAUCACUAACAUGUUGGGAUCUAUUUAUUAUUACAACUAGCAAUAUGCUAAUACAUGUGAUUUUGUAUUCCCAAGUAAUUUAUUGACUCACUCACAUAUAUUCACUAAGUAUGUUCUAUGUACAAAUUAUUAUGCCAUGUGCAUGAGAAAUGCAAAAAUAAAUGAAAAUAGAUUCUGCCUUUAUGCAGUUUCCAAUCCAGAAGAAACAAACAGCAACCACUCACACAACUAUAAGGCAGGGUGUGUGAAAUUAAAGCCUUAGAAGAUAAAGAAAUUAUUAGAGGACUUAAAAGGAGGGAGAU